CAACUAGGAUGUUGGCUUAGAAGCAGCCACUCAUUUAAAGAGUGCGUAACAGCUCACUAUUCAAGUGGUUUUGCGCUGAAGAUAUAACGGGGCUCAAGUAGUAUACCGAAGCUAUGGAUUUAUGUAAAUAAAUGGUAGGAGAGCGUUCUAACAACAAUGAAGUUUCUCUGGAAAGAGGGAUGGAGUGGUUAGAAGCGAGAAUGCCGGCGUGAGUAACGAUUGGAAGUGAGAAUCUUCCAUGCCGAAUGAUCAAGGUUUCUUGGGCAAGGUUCGUCCGCCCAAGGUUAGUCAGGUCCUAAUACGAGACCAAAAGGUGUAGUAGAUGGCAAAUUGGUUGAUAUUCCAAUACCAUGAUUAUCUGUGAAGGAGUGACAAAGGAGGCUAGGAUGAGCGAGUGAUUGGUUGAACUCGUCUAAGCAUUUAAAAGCGGAGAUUGGUAAAUCCGUCUCCUGAUGCUUGAAGUGUGAAAGAUAAUGAAAUUCUUCGGAAAAGUAGUAAAGCAUCCGACGCCAAGCUUUCAAGAAAAGCUUCUAACAUUAAGGAUAAUCGUGCCUGUACCGACAACGAACACACGUGAUCAGAAAGAGAAUUUUCAGGCAAGCGAGAUAACCACAUUUAAGGAACUCGGCAAAAUUACCCCGUAAGUUCGCAAGAAGGGGUACUUCUGUGCAAACAGAAGUCGCAGUGAAUUGGUCCGGGCGACUGUUUAACAAAAACACAGGUCUCUGCGAAAGAGUAAUCCCAAGUAUAGAGGCUGAUACCUGCCCAGUGUUAGAAGGUUAAGGAAGAGGGUUUCUUCAUCAUUUUCUUUACUGAAUUUUGGUGAAUUGGCUUUCGACUGAAGCCCUAAUGAACGGCGGCUGUAAAUAUAACGGUCCUAAGGUAGCGAAAUUCCUUGUCAGGUAAGUUCUGACCUGCACGAAAGGUGUAACGAUCUGGAUACUGUCUCAAAUGUGGACUCGGUGAAAUCUUAUUACUUGUGAUGAUGCGAGUUACCCGCAGCUAGACGAAAAGACCCCGUGGAGCUUUACUAUAUCUUGAUAUUGGAUUCUAGUGCUGUCUGUACAGCAUAGGUAGGAAACAAUGAAGUUGCAACGCCAGUUGUGAUCGAGUUGCCAGUGGAAUACUACCCUGGGAGUAUUGGAAUCCUUACCUUUUGUUAACCAACGAAGGGACAGUGUCUGGUGGGUAGUUUGACUGGGGCGGUCGCCUCCUAAAAGGUAACGGAGGCGCUCAAUGGUACUUUCAGUAUGGUCGGAAAUCAUACACGGAGCGUAAAGGUAGAAAAGUGCUUGACUGUGAGACUAACUGGUUGAACAGGUACGAAAGUAGGACUUAGUGAUCCGGCAAUGCACCGUGUUGUGCUUGUCGCUCAACGAAUAAAAGUUACCCCGGGGAUAACAGGUUUAUCUUCCCCAAGAGUUCACAUCGACGGGAAGGUUUGAUACCUCGAUGUCGGCUUGCCGUAUCCUGGAGCUGAAGCAGGUUCCAAGGGUUGGGCUGUUCGCCCAUUAAAGCGGUACG
rnacentral:rRNA from 1 species